AUGGAGGUCGUCAGUGACGAGGCUGUGCGACUCGUGGUUGGCGGUGGAAUCGAUUGGAGCUUAAGAGGGAGUCGCGGUGCUUUGAUCGAACUGCAGGUUGUGCAUGACAGAGGUUAUAGCGGCGCGAUCUGGAAGUGUAUGGGAAAGGUUAAGCUUGUUUUUGUUGUAGCGUCUGGCAGCGUGUACAAUUUCGGCGCGGGUGAGGAGUUGGAGCGGUGGGUUACUUCUUCUUUUCCUCUGUAA